AGUUUGAUCCUGGCUCAGGAUGAACGCUGGCGGCGUGCUUAACACAUGCAAGUCGAACGGGGGUCACUUGACGGAAGUUUUCGGACGGAAGUGAUUUGACCCGAGUGGCGGACGGGUGAGUAACACGUGAGUAACCUGCCUUUUGCUGGGGAAUAACUGUGGGAAACCAUGGCUAAUACCGCAUAUUGUGUUUACAGGGCAUCUUGUGGACAUGAAAGGAGCAAUCCGGCAGAAGAUGGGCUCGCGUCCGAUUAGGUAGUUGGUGGGGUAAAGGCUUACCAAGCCGACGAUCGGUAGCUGUACUGAGAGGUAGAACAGCCACAUUGGGACUGAGAUACGGCCCAAACUCCUACGGGAGGCAGCAGUGAGGAAUAUUGGUCAAUGGGCGAGAGCCUGAACCAGCCAUCCCGCGUGCAGGAUGACAGUCCUAGUGAUUGUAAACUGCUUUUCUAUAAGAUGAAUAAGGACUACGUGUAGUUCGAUGACCGUAUUAUAGGAAUAAGCAUCGGCCAACUCCGUGCCAGCAGCCGCGGUAAUACGGAGGAUGCAAGCGUUAUCCGGAUUCAUUGGGUUUAAAGGGUGCGCAGGCGGAGAGAUAAGUCAGUGGUGAAAAACUGCCGCUCAACGGUAGUCUUGCCAUUGAUACUGUCUUUCUUGAGUAUGGAUGAGGUAGGCGGAAUGUGCAGUGUAGCGGUGAAAUGCAUAGAUAUUGCACGGAACACCAAUUGCGAAGGCAGCUUACUGGACCAUUACUGACGCUCAGGCACGAAAGCGUGGGGAUCAAACAGGAUUAGAUACCCUGGUAGUCCACACUGUAAACGAUGGAUACUAGGGUGUAGGAGGGUAUCGACCCCUUCUGUGCCGGAGUUAACACAAUAAGUAUCCCACCUGGGGAGUACGAUCGCAAGAUUAAAACUCAAAGGAAUUGACGGGGGCCCGCACAAGCAGUGGAGUAUGUGGUUUAAUUCGAAGCAACGCGAAGAACCUUACCAGGGCUUGACAUCCCUUGCAAGCUGUAGAGAUACAGUGUCCCUUCGGGGCAAGGAGACAGGUGGUGCAUGGUUGUCGUCAGCUCGUGUCGUGAGAUGUUGGGUUAAGUCCCGCAACGAGCGCAACCCCUGUUGUUAGUUGCCAUCAUUAAGUUGGGCACUCUAGCGAGACUGCCGGUGAUAAAUCGGAGGAAGGUGGGGACGACGUCAAAUCAUCAUGCCCCUUAUGUCCUGGGCUACACACGUACUACAAUGGCUGUUACAGAGGGUAGCUAUACCGCGAGGUGGAGCCAAUCCCUAAAGGCAGCCCCAGUUCGGAUUGCAGGCUGAAACUCGCCUGCAUGAAGUCGGAAUUGCUAGUAAUGGCAGGUCAGCAUACUGCCGUGAAUACGUUCCCGGGCCUUGUACACACCGCCCGUCAAG
rnacentral:rRNA from 1 species